rnacentral:rRNA from 1 species
UACGUAGGGGGCAAGCGUUGUCCGGAUUUAUUGGGCGUAAAGAGCUCGUAGGUGGUUCGGUAAGUCGGAUGUGAAAUCUCCAGGCUCAACCUGGAGGGGUCAUUCGAUACUGCCGUGACUAGAGGUCGGUAGGGGAGUGUGGAAUUCCUGGUGGAGCGGUGAAAUGCGCAGAUAUCAGGAGGAACACCCGUAGCGAAGGCGGCACUCUGGGCCGAUACUGACACUGAGGAGCGAAAGCUAGGGUAGCAAACGGG